rnacentral:rRNA from 1 species
AUUGAACGCUGGCGGAAUGCUUUACACAUGCAAGUCGAACGGUAGAGGGGGCAGCCCCUCGAGAGUGGCGAACGGGUGAGUAAUAUAUCGGAACGUGCCCAGUCGUGGGGGAUAACGUAGCGAAAGUUACGCUAAUACCGCAUACGAUCUAAGGAUGAAAGCGGGGGACCGCAAGACCUGGCGCGAUUGGAGAGGCGGAUAUCAGAUUAGGUAGUUGGUGGGGUAAAGGCUCACCAAGCCAACGAUCUGUAGCUGGUCUGAGAGGACGACCAGCCACACUGGAACUGAGACACGGUCCAGACUCCUACGGGAGGCAGCAGUGGGGAAUUUUGGACAAUGGACGCAAGUCUGAUCCAGCCAUUCCGCGUGCAGGAUGAAGGCCCUCGGGUUGUAAACUGCUUUUGUACGGAACGAAAAGGUCUCUCUUAAUACGGGGGACUCAUGACGGUACCGUAAGAAUAAGCACCGGCUAACUACGUGCCAGCAGCCGCCGUAAAAC